GGCGUUUCCUCCGUGUCCCCCUGGGGGGAGGAGGAUAGCGGGGACGUCUUUGAGGUGAAUAUUGUGGCCUAAAGUACCCCUGAGAGUGCUGUCUUGAAGGCACAAAAUUCCUAUUUUGGCGUGUGUUUCUCCUAUAAUUCCACUGAGGGGCGCUGCGGCGCUCCUCUUGGUGCAGAUCGUCAAAUUGGCGGCGUGUCUGCGGGUAGGGGCGAAGCGGAUAGGAAUCCUGCCGUCCCCGUGCUACAUCCGCAUAAGACCUCUGGGGCCGCUGCUCAUACCACUGAGAAAAAUUAUCCUCAUGGUCAUAAUGACAACGUUCAUCAUCCUGGGCGAGCCACUCUGAAGGCGCAGCCUGACGUCGCGGUGCGCGUCUUCGCCCCGACCUGACCGGAAGCCAGUCGUACUCGAACCCAUCCGACAUAUUGCAAAAUUAUUUUAAUAUGUCGCUGGUGUGGAUGAUGUAAAAAACUGGUUGGCGAAAAAAAGGUUUGUUCGCUUUAUAAAAAUAAAAAAUAAAAAAUAAAUAAAUAAAAAAAAAAUUGUCUUUAUCCGUUUCCUUUGUGAAAAAGAGAGAACGGAAUGCUCGGAGGCGGGACUUCCGCCGAGGUCAAGAUAAUCACUUCCGGUUCAUGGCUGGCUGCAUAAACGGUCCAGGAGGGCGAGCGAGGGAGAGUGAGAGCCGUAAGAGGAUUGGAGGCACUGGCUGGUUAGGUUUGGGGGUAGGUUUUAGGCCCCCUGGAUGUCUGGUGCCCAAUUUGGAGAUCCAAAGGAGCUCCGCCCGGUGGCGUUGGGCGAGGCUCCAUUUGGGAUCCGUCUCUACGACAGUCGCCCGGACGGAAGACCACCCGUGUCGGAGAAAAUGCUGAACCAGGUG